UUUAUAAACACUAUCGUAAUCGUAAAGCUUUGAAAUCGUUAGCGGAACGAUGAAUCAAAUGUUUUUAGAAUCGGUAGUAUUUAAAUUUGUGUAGCGUCUAGAUUACGUUGUUCUCUGUUGUGACAUGUGACAUUUGUUUUGCUACUGAUUGAAGUUUGGACAAAUUUGUGAACUUAUAACAUUUUACAAUACGUUCACGGGAGCAAUGGAAAAACGUAAAAGGGCCCAGCGUAUUACCCAAGAGUAACAUGAGUUGUAUGUGGAGGAGUUAGAAGGUAAUGCAGAUUUUAGGGCCCAAAAGUUCGUAGCGGACAAGCCAGAUCUUUUAGAAAAGAUAUGGGAAGGGUUGGUAGGAAAACUAAAUUCUGUGGGAGGACCACAAAAAAGUGUUCAGCAGUUCAGAGAGGUAUGUGUAAUUAAUGAAUCUCCCGAACACUCUUUUUAAAAAUGUGUACUUUACUAUAAUUUAUCGUACAACUAUUAGCAAUUAUUCUGCUUACAUCAACACUUUGGUUAUGACAAAGUGAACAUCUUGUUUAGUCAUGACCAAUCAAUUAUGAGAACUGAGAUGUUUAAUCUUUAUAAAUACUGUUACACAAUAAACCAUAACCUCUGUGUUUUUUAGUACACCAAGAAUAUAACAUAGGGCACUCUAAUUACAAUGUACUGCCUGGUAAGUAAAUGUCACUGUGUGUUCCAGAGAUUUGUAGAUUGGAAAUUCAAUGUUUGAAAGAAGACCAGAAAUUUAAGACUAUGUGAAAGAGGAACUGUUUAAAAUAAUUUCAUUAUGUUGUAAAAAGAUAAUAAAUACAUUAUUGAAAAUGC